ACCGCUGUUCCUACUGGUUCUGCCCGGCCUGCUGAAGUGACCAAUCAGAAGGCGGCAACUACCGCCUCGGGCCACGCUGCGCUGCGCGUCGCCAUUGGUGGAGAGGAGAACAGCGACCAAUCAGCGCUGCGGGAGGUGGGGCGGUGGUCACGCCAACCGCUGGCGAUUGGCUGUGCCCACAGCAGGCUGACCAAUAGCGGCGUGGCAGUGGCCAUAAAAGACGUAGCGUGGGGCGCGCACGUUCUUUUCAGCAAGAGGCGCAGGACGAGAUAGAACGGAGGGGCUCGGCGGGAACCGGCGGCGGCGUCCCGGAGGCUCCGUGCCCCAUCCGCGGCACUCCCCGACGGUCUGGGCCGCUCGAAGGCGACGUUCGUGGUAGUAAAAGUGGUUUAAAAUCAUGGGGGUUUAGGGUUAGAAGGAAAAUUAAGCUUAGUAGGCCCUGAAAAAAUACCCUGGGUGCAUGUAGGCCUCGUACCUUGCUAGAGCUGCGCCUGUGUAGCUGGUACAUGAUAAAUGAUAUAAUUGUUAGAUGUGAUGAUUGGUUAGUAAUUAAAUAUAAUUACUGUUUAAUCGUAAAAAUAAUCAUGAGAAACUGUGGUCAGGGGCCUAAGAAAGAUCACGAGAAACUCAUGCUUGAAUAAAGUAAAUGUAUGCAAUAGAACAAUAUAAGUUUAUUAAUUUGUAAGUUAUAGCAAAUAAUAAUGAAUUAAUAAUUGAGUAUUAAUGAAUUAAUAAUUAAAAUUCGCAAAUAUUACCAUUAAUAUUACAUGUGUAAUGUUAGAAAGCUGUGCUGUAUUCUCUUAAGUAGUGGGUUAAAUAUAGUUUUAGGUUUCAACAGAAUGUUAAAAUAGAGACUAUGUUUGUGGGGAGAGUAUUUUUUUUUUAGUAAUGAAAUACUCGUUUAGAGGAAAACCUAAAUCUUUAAAGGAAUUUAUAGUUUUCUUAUCAGAAGAAGCUAAUUUCUUCAGGCCUUGCUCGACUUAAAGACGCCUUGGGGAUUAAAGGAAACAGUUGACAUACAACAGGCAGAGUUCUUGUUUUAAAUAGAAUACAUACAUAACCAUGAAGGAUAUAUGAAUAUGCAACAGGCUGUUGCUUUUAAGGUUAUUCCUUUGUUCACAAGGGAUGCUUUUUGUGACUUAGUGUCCAAGAGCAUCCGGACAUGCUCGGCAAAUUUUGUAGCUUACAGGUGAAUAAAGUUUUGAAAAAUC